UUCAGCUUUGCGAGGGAAGCUUCAUUACUAAAAUUAAACUGGUUUCAAGCUAUUUCGCUUAAGAUUAUUUAAAGAAAAUGGUGUUGGCAGAUGCCUCGUCCACAAUAGAUGCUAAUAAAAUUUUAUCAAAGGAAGGAAGAGAAGCGUCUAUUUAUGUUAGAAGAUCUAGAAGGGGCACCAAACGUAUAAAAUAUUUAUCCAGUGGCGAAGAGAGUAGCGAAAUCAAUGAACCUUCUGAUACACUUUUUAUAGAUGUAGUUGACUCACUUAAUAAAGGAACUAUUAACAAAGCAGGUAAAGUAAAAAUUUUAAGAAAAAAAACAAAUAAAAAAGCGGAAAUUGUUAAUAACUACAAAUCUCGUCCUCUGAGAAGCAAAGAUAGUACUAAAUUUGACGAAAUCUUGAGCUCCGAAACUAAAACCAUUGCUGCGCCGAUAACUGAUUUAAAUGUAAAUAUGACAGAAAA